rfam:Salmo salar isolate Sally breed double haploid chromosome ssa04, whole genome shotgun sequence.
UGGCUCAGUUGGUAGAGCAUGGUGUUUGCAAUGUCAGGGUUGUGGGUUCGAUUCCCAC